GAUGAACGCUGGCGGCGUGCCUAAUACAUGCAAGUCGAGCGAACGGACGAGAAGCUUGCUUCUCUGAUGUUAGCGGCGGACGGGUGAGUAACACGUGGAUAACCUACCUAUAAGACUGGGAUAACUUCGGGAAACCGUAGCUAAUACCGGAUAAUAUUUUGAACCGCAUGGUUCAAAAGUGAAAGACGGUCUUGCUGUCACUUAUAGAUGGAUCCGCGCUGCAUUAGCUAGUUGGUAAGGUAACGGCUUACCAAGGCAACGAUGCAUAGCCGACCUGAGAGGGGGAUUGGCCACACUGGAACUGAGACACGGUCCAGACUCCUACGGGAGGCAGCAGUAGGGAAUCUUCCGCAAUGGGCGAAAGCCUGACGGAGCAACGCCGCGUGAGUGAUGAAGGUCUUCGGAUCGUAAAACUCUGUUAUUAGGGAAGAACAUAUGUGUAAGUAACUGUGCACAUCUUGACGGUACCUAAUCAGAAAGCCACGGCUAACUACGUG
rnacentral:rRNA from 1 species